UACAGAGGGUGCGAGCGUUAAUCGGAAUUACUGGGCGUAAAGCGCGCGUAGGCGGCUUUGCAAGUCGGGUGUGAAAUCCCCAGGCUCAACCUGGGAACUGCAUUCGAGACUGCAUUGCUAGAGUAUGGGAGAGGGAAGUGGAAUUUCCGGUGUAGCGGUGAAAUGCGUAGAUAUCGGAAGGAACACCGGUGGCGAAGGCGGUUCUCUGGGCAUGAUCUGACGCUGAGGAGCGAAAGUGUGGGGAGCGAACAGG
rnacentral:rRNA from 1 species